rnacentral:rRNA from 1 species
CCUACGGGAGGCAGCAGUGGGGAAUAUUGGUCAAUGGCCGUAAGGCUGAACCAGCCAAGUCGCGUGAAGGAAGAAGGAUCUAUGGUUUGUAAACUUCUUUUAUAGGGGAAUAAAGGUAUCCACGUGUGGAUAUUUGCAUGUACCCUAUGAAUAAGCAUCGGCUAACUCCGUGCCAGCAGCCGCGGUAAUACGGAGGAUGCGAGCGUUAUCCGGAUUUAUUGGGUUUAAAGGGUGCGUAGGUUGUUUUUUAAGUCAGCGGUGAAAGUUUGUGGCUCAACCAUAAAAUUGCCGUUGAAACUGGAAGACUUGAGUGUGUUUGAGGUAGGCAGAAUGCGUGGUGUAGCGGUGAAAUGCAUAGAGAUCACGAAGAACUCCGAUUGCGAAGGCAGCUUACUAAGCAAUAACUGACACUGAAGCACGAAAGCGUGGGGAGCAAACAGGAUUAGAUACCCUAGUAGUC